UUUUCUCCAGGAAGCUGUUGUUGAAAACUGCAUCUGAAUUCCAGACAGUGGAAUGGCUUUCAGCACUGAAGAUCAGUGUACUAACAAUCAGCCUGUAAAACAAACUGUUGUCUGCUUUUCCUUACGCCUGACCAUGCAGAUGUCUGCUGUGUGAGUGAGCGCCAGCAGGCAUGGUGGAAUACCCUUCCAUGGAGGGCAUUUGGAUGGAAGACAGGAGCCUGCUCACCCAAAUGGGAACAAAGAUGGAAACAUUAUAAACUGAAGAGUGAAUAAAAAUGCCUGAUGAAUGCUUAACAUCAGUUUCUUCUAAAUAGUGCUAGAGGCAGAGCAAAAGGCAGGAGUCUGCACUUACUUUGAAAUCAUUCCUCCAGUAGGUAACAGCUAAUUAAAAACCCGUUUGUGGCUCAGUUGUCUUCAACAGUCUUUGAAACAUGUUUUUUCAUACUUCACUUUUAAAUUUCAUCUGUUAUUAUUCUGCUUAGUUACUUUUGUACUAAAUCCUUUACAUAGUCUCCUGCACUCUUUUUGUGUACUGAUAAACUCAUUAAUUGUCUCUGUUUUAAGAACCAAAAGUCUGAUUGUUUCUGAGGUGUGUUAAGGGUGGGAUAGAAAGUGAGUAUCCUCCCACUUUCUAUGGAAAGUAAGCUCUCUGACUCCUUUCACAUCGUUUUCUUUAGAACCCCAUUAUUUCCUUAUA